rnacentral:rRNA from 1 species
GAUGAACGCUGGCGGCGUACUUAACACAUGCAAGUCGAACGGUGAAAGCGGACCUUGCUCUGCUGGAUCAGUGGCGAACGGGUGAGUAACACGUGAGCAAUCUGCCCCUGACUCUGGGAUAAGCGCUGGAAACGGCGUCUAAUACUGGAUACGAGCUGCGAAGGCAUCUUCAGCAGCUGGAAAGAACUUCGGUCAGGGAUGAGCUCGCGGCCUAUCAGCUUGUUGGUGAGGUAACGGCUCACCAAGGCGUCGACGGGUAGCCGGCCUGAGAGGGUGACCGGCCACACUGGGACUGGGACACGGCCCAGACUCCUACGGGAGGCAGCAGUGGGGAAUAUUGCACAAUGGGCGCAAGCCUGAUGCAGCAACGCCGCGUGAGGGACGACGGCCUUCGGGUUGUAAACCUCUUUUAGCAGGGAAGAAGCGAAAGUGACGGUACCUGCAGAAAAAGCGCCGGCUAACUACGUGCCAGCCGCCGCGGUAA